rnacentral:rRNA from 1 species
AGCGUACACGGUGGAUGCCCUGGCAGUCAGAGGCGAUGAAGGACGUGCUAAUCUGCGAUAAGCGUCGGUAAGGUGAUAUGAACCGUUAUAACCGGCGAUUUCCGAAUGGGGAAACCCAGUGUGUUUCGACACACUAUCAUUAACUGAAUCCAUAGGUUAAUGAGGCGAACCGGGGGAACUGAAACAUCUAAGUACCCCGAGGAAAAGAAAUCAACCGAGAUUCCCCCAGUAGCGGCGAGCGAACGGGGAGCAGCCCAGAGCCUGAAUCAGUGUGUGUGUUAGUGGAAGCGUCUGGAAAGGCGCGCGAUACAGGGUGACAGCCCCGUACACAAAAAUGCACAUGCUGUGAGCUCGAUGAGUAGGGCGGGACACGUGGUAUCCUGUCUGAAUAUGGGGGGACCAUCCUCCAAGGCUAAAUACUCCUGACUGACCGAUAGUGAACCAGUACCGUGAGGGAAAGGCGAAAAGAACCCCGGCGAGGGGAGUGAAAAAGAACCUGAAACCGUGUACGUACAAGCAGUGGGAGCACGCUUAGGCGUGUGACUGCGUACCUUUUGUAUAAUGGGUCAGCGACUUAUAUUCUGUAGCAAGGUUAACCGAAUAGGGGAGCCGAAGGGAAACCGAGUCUUAACUGGGCGUUAAGUUGCAGGGUAUAGACCCGAAACCCGGUGAUCUAGCCAUGGGCAGGUUGAAGGUUGGGUAACACUAACUGGAGGACCGAACCGACUAAUGUUGAAAAAUUAGCGGAUGACUUGUGGCUGGGGGUGAAAGGCCAAUCAAACCGGGAGAUAGCUGGUUCUCCCCGAAAGCUAUUUAGGUAGCGCCUCGUGAAUUCAUCUCCGGGGGUAGAGCACUGUUUCGGCAAGGGGGUCAUCCCGACUUACCAACCCGAUGCAAACUGCGAAUACCGGAGAAUGUUAUCACGGGAGACACACGGCGGGUGCUAACGUCCGUCGUGAAGAGGGAAACAACCCAGACCGCCAGCUAAGGUCCCAAAGUCAUGGUUAAGUGGGAAACGAUGUGGGAAGGCCCAGACAGCCAGGAUGUUGGCUUAGAAGCAGCCAUCAUUUAAAGAAAGCGUAAUAGCUCACUGGUCGAGUCGGCCUGCGCGGAAGAUGUAACGGGGCUAAACCAUGCACCGAAGCUGCGGCAGCGACGCUNNNNNNNNNNNNNNNNNNNNNNNNNNNNNNNNNNNNNNNNNNNNNNNNNNNNNNNCAUGCUGGAGGUAUCAGAAGUGCGAAUGCUGACAUAAGUAACGAUAAAGCGGGUGAAAAGCCCGCUCGCCGGAAGACCAAGGGUUCCUGUCCAACGUUAAUCGGGGCAGGGUGAGUCGACCCCUAAGGCGAGGCCGAAAGGCGUAGUCGAUGGGAAACAGGUUAAUAUUCCUGUACUUGGUGUUACUGCGAAGGGGGGACGGAGAAGGCUAUGUUGGCCGGGCGACGGUUGUCCCGGUUUAAGCGUGUAGGCUGGUUUUCCAGGCAAAUCCGGAAAAUCAAGGCUGAGGCGUGAUGACGAGGCACUACGGUGCUGAAGCAACAAAUGCCCUGCUUCCAGGAAAAGCCUCUAAGCAUCAGGUAACAUCAAAUCGUACCCCAAACCGACACAGGUGGUCAGGUAGAGAAUACCAAGGCGCUUGAGAGAACUCGGGUGAAGGAACUAGGCAAAAUGGUGCCGUAACUUCGGGAGAAGGCACGCUGAUAUGUAGGUGAAGUCCCUCGCGGAUGGAGCUGAAAUCAGUCGAAGAUACCAGCUGGCUGCAACUGUUUAUUAAAAACACAGCACUGUGCAAACACGAAAGUGGACGUAUACGGUGUGACGCCUGCCCGGUGCCGGAAGGUUAAUUGAUGGGGUUAGCGCAAGCGAAGCUCUUGAUCGAAGCCCCGGUAAACGGCGGCCGUAACUAUAACGGUCCUAAGGUAGCGAAAUUCCUUGUCGGGUAAGUUCCGACCUGCACGAAUGGCGUAAUGAUGGCCAGGCUGUCUCCACCCGAGACUCAGUGAAAUUGAACUCGCUGUGAAGAUGCAGUGUACCCGCGGCAAGACGGAAAGACCCCGUGAACCUUUACUAUAGCUUGACACUGAACAUUGAGCCUUGAUGUGUAGGAUAGGUGGGAGGCUUUGAAGUGUGGACGCCAGUCUGCAUGGAGCCGACCUUGAAAUACCACCCUUUAAUGUUUGAUGUUCUAACGUUGACCCGUAAUCCGGGUUGCGGACAGUGUCUGGUGGGUAGUUUGACUGGGGCGGUCUCCUCCUAAAGAGUAACGGAGGAGCACGAAGGUUGGCUAAUCCUGGUCGGACAUCAGGAGGUUAGUGCAAUGGCAUAAGCCAGCUUGACUGCGAGCGUGACGGCGCGAGCAGGUGCGAAAGCAGGUCAUAGUGAUCCGGUGGUUCUGAAUGGAAGGGCCAUCGCUCAACGGAUAAAAGGUACUCCGGGGAUAACAGGCUGAUACCGCCCAAGAGUUCAUAUCGACGGCGGUGUUUGGCACCUCGAUGUCGGCUCAUCACAUCCUGGGGCUGAAGUAGGUCCCAAGGGUAUGGCUGUUCGCCAUUUAAAGUGGUACGCGAGCUGGGUUUAGAACGUCGUGAGACAGUUCGGUCCCUAUCUGCCGUGGGCGCUGGAGAACUGAGGGGGGCUGCUCCUAGUACGAGAGGACCGGAGUGGACGCAUCACUGGUGUUCGGGUUGUCAUGCCAAUGGCACUGCCCGGUAGCUAAAUGCGGAAGAGAUAAGUGCUGAAAGCAUCUAAGCACGAAACUUGCCCCGAGAUGAGUUCUCCCUGACUCCUUGA